GAAGCACAUUUAGUGAAAUGAGGGCUUUUUGCACUUAAAGUAAUCUUCAUUGGGCUAAAUUGACUUAAAAUAGAUGUUCUGGUUUAGUUAGUCCAAAUAAAAGUUUUUGGGCGUUUGCAUAUUGGCUGAUACUUCAGGGACCGACUUGGUCUUUAUCUUUACAUUGGAUGUUUCAAUCUUGUGUUAUUGUUAUUCACAAACUUAAGUCCUCUGCAUUUUUCUCAAUGGUUUUUUUAAUGCCAUAACAGAAUUUGGUUGAGGAGAA
rnacentral:misc_RNA from 1 species